GGUGGCCUAAUGGUUAGAGCGUCCGCAUCGGAUGCGGAAGGUCGUAGGUUUCAUCCCCGGUCGAGUCAUACCAAAGACU